rnacentral:rRNA from 1 species
GAUGAACGCUGGCGGCGUGCCUAAUACAUGCAAGUCGAGCGAACAGAUGAGGAGCUUGCUCCUCUGACGUUAGCGGCGGACGGGUGAGUAACACGUGGAUAACCUACCUAUAAGACUGGGAUAACUUCGGGAAACCGGAGCUAAUACCGGAUAAUAUAUUGAACCGCAUGGUUCAAUAGUGAAAGACGGUUUUGCUGUCACUUAUAGAUGGAUCCGCGCCGCAUUAGCUAGUUGGUAAGGUAACGGCUUACCAAGGCAACGCUGCGUAGCCGACCUGAUAGGGUGCUCGGCCCCACUGGAACUGAGACACGGUCCAGACUCCUACGGGAGGCAGCAGUAGGGAAUCUUCCGCAAUGGGCGAAAGCCUGACGGAGCAACGCCGCGUGAGUGAUGCAGGUCUUCGGAUCGUAAAACUCUGUUAUUAGGGAAGAACAAAUGUGUAAGUAACUAUGCACGUCUUGACGGUACCUAAUCAGAAAGCCACGGCUAACUACGUG